GGACUACUGGGGUAUCUAAUCCCGUUUGCUCCCCUGGCUUUCGUGUCUCAGCGUCAGCACAUCCCCAGUCGCCUGUUUUCACCAUUGGCGUUCCAAACGAUAUCUACGCAUUUCACCGCUCCACCGUUUGUUCCAGCGACCCCUAGAUGGCUCAAGACCGCCAGUAUGCCAAGCAGUUCCACAGUUGAGCUGUGGGAUUUCACAAAGCACUUAACGAUCCGCCUACACACGCUUUAAGCCCAGUGAUUCCGCCUAACGCUUGAGACCUCUGUCUUACCGCGGCUGCUGGCAC
rnacentral:rRNA from 1 species